rnacentral:rRNA from 1 species
UACGUAGGGCGCAAGCGUUGUCCGGAAUUAUUGGGCGUAAAGAGCUCGUAGGCGGCUUGUCACGUCGGUUGUGAAAGCCCGGGGCUUAACCCCGGGUCUGCAGUCGAUACGGGCAGGCUAGAGUGUGGUAGGGGAGAUCGGAAUUCCUGGUGUAGCGGUGAAAUGCGCAGAUAUCAGGAGGAACACCGGUGGCGAAGGCGGGUCUCUGGGCCGAUACUGACGCUCAUGCACGAAAGCGUGGGGAGCAAACAGG